CCACGGGUGAGUAACGCGUAUCCAACCUGCCGUCUACUCUUGGACAGCCUUCUGAAAGGAAGAUUAAUACAAGAUGGCAUCAUGAGUCCGCAUGUUCACAUGAUUAAAGGUAUUCCGGUAGACGAUGGGGAUGCGUUCCAUUAGAUAGUAGGCGGGGUAACGGCCCACCUAGUCUUCGAUGGAUAGGGGUUCUGAGAGGAAGGUCCCCCACAUUGGUACUGAGACACGGCCCAA
rnacentral:rRNA from 1 species